CUCCAUUAGAGCUUCCUUGUCUGCAUAUUCAUAUAAAGGAAAAACUGAAAUAAUUAAAUUCAUACUUAAUUCCCAAGUGAUAAGUGAAGACUGAAUUCAAUGGAGAAACAUUAUCACAUUUACCUCAUAUAUACGCCUCCCCCCUGAAAGCCUCUGUUGCAAGCUUCAGUUGGUAAUAGGUAAUCUUGGAUGGGUCAACUAUAUCCAAAGAAAUGCCGGCACUGAGAUACUCGAUGAAUUUGACUGUCAUGAUUCCGCAAGAGGUGGUGUCAGGCAAAUAAGUUCAGAAAUUAGAGCUGCACUUAUUUACAAUAUCGAUAAACUCUACUAAAUUAACAUAGAACAUUGUUGCGGCACAUCUCCAAUGCUGCAAAUUGUGAAUGGCUUAAACUUGGACAUCUUCAUCCCCUUUUGCUUCACCUCUUCAACCUCAGAAACGUCAUGAAAGUGUAUAUCGUAUAGCACCCAUGCCAGAGUAUCGCUAAUAGGCUCAAGAUAUUUGACCAGCUUGGAAUUUGAGGUAAAAGCAAUAUAGGAGUCAUACACAGUCACAGUUUGUCUCACAAAGUCGAUUUCUACUGCCGCUCAAUGGCACCCGCGAAGAUUAUACGAGACAUACACCUUCUGGACUUUGCUCCAUGGUUGUGCAUACCCAUGUUGCCAUAUACCGUGCACAAAGUGAUGUAUCUUUUUUAGGUAGCUAGGUAGAAGGUCAACCGUAUUUGGAGCAGCUGCUUUCUUAUAUACUCGUUUCUUUGCAGGCGGUCUUACCGGCACUAAAAAUUGCUUCAAACAAUUUUUAAGGCACAUUACAUAAUGACGAACCAAUGCAACCGAAGCAGUGAAUUUAACAUGUUCACAUUUUACCUGCAAACAAUAAUCUGCAGUUGUCCAGUCGGUUCCAAACACCAAAUGAUGAGAAAUGUCUUUUUCAUAUUAGAAACAUCACCAUGUCAAGGUGCUAAAAGUUCAAGUAAAUAAUACCACCACAAUUUAAUACAAAUGUACACAUAGUGAAUGUGAGAAAAGAAUUGAAUUAUCCUAAUGAAGCUGGAUUCAAAUUCUUACCCUGGAGCUAAUCCAUUCUGUAUCAUCUUUAGGUUUGUAAAAAAAAGUCUAGGCUAACUGAACAUGCUUCGAGCUGCACCUUCGCACUACAAUAGCCAAACUUCCAAUGGUCAAUUUUGUAAUCAUUCAAUAAUUGGAACAUUGUAUAAUAUGACAAACAUAGUACAAACACAGACAUGUCUAUUAAAGGUAGCUAUAUAUUCUUAUUGUAGAUCACUACAUACUACAACAUCAUGAUUAUUGGAUUUCCAAGGUUAGAAAUCCUAAACUUAAAUUGGUUUUCCAAGAGGUGCAAAACUCUAUUACUGCCUUGACAUCAUCAAUGGGCACGGGUUUUGUUGGAUCAAAACAUGGCGGGGUUGCGUCCGCAUCUGAAAUAGUAAUCGUCCUUUUUUUCCUAGAGGGAUCGGCAAAUGGACUCAACAAUGUAGUGGCCAGCCGCUUCUUUCUGCACCCUUUACCUUCAACAUCUUGUUUUUCAACAGUGGCACUACCUUCCUUAAUCGCUUCAUCACCAGCCACAGUAACAUUGGUUAUGAUAUGAGGAUUCAUCUGACCUCCCAAUGUCUUAAUGUCCCUCUUUUUCCAAUCCUCUAACAAAGAUAACAGUUUUUUGCAUAUUACUCCGCACCCAUCCACAUCUUCCAGAGUACUAAGCUUCUCAGCUUCUUGCUGCACUUGUUUGUUAGGAACUGAAGUGCCCAUUUCUGCCUCUUGGACAUGCAUGGUUGCGAAGACUUCGGCUCCAUCACCAGGGACUUGUGCUUCCAUUUCUACCGAUUCUGUAGUCGGAGUAAUAUAUUCAUGUAUAGGCGACAUGUCAUUAUCGCCUCCUUCAUUAAUAUGAGGACUACCCACUUCUUCAUGUCCUUCAUCAUAUUCAUUCAACCCACCAUUUCAUUUUUUCAACUCCUCUAUCUCUAGCUUAAAAUAGUGUUCCAUUGAAGCGAGGGUCUUGCUAAAAUCCUCCACACACAUUUUUAUUUUUUUGACACUCCUUCUCAUGUUUCAAAGACUCCUUCUAUACCAUCUCUUCCAAGUCAUGCACUCUCUUUCUAAGCGCUCGAUUUGAACUGGCUACCUUUGUCAAUUCAUCCUUUGUGGUUUGAAAUUCACGCUUCAAAGUGCGUAACUCAAUCGACGAGAGUCUACCCUGACAGUUAUAAUGAAACUGUUACAAUACUUACAAAAUAUAACCCAAAUAUUGUUACUGUAUAGCCAUCGUAUUAUCUAUAUAUUGACUAUAUACUGAUUAUAUUGUCUAUAUAUAUACAGUCCUGAUCUCUUGGUCUACAGAGGUCCAAGAGAAUUGUGGCUGCUCACUAUUGGAUGUAAAUAUAUAUAUAUAUGUUGUUAUUCUACUUCAUCAUAUACUAAAAUUUGGGUUUGUUUGAUUGACAUUUCGUACAUUUGUUUACAGCUAUUCAACCAAAAAAACACUCAUUUACAGCUAUGAUAGAGUAAACCAAUCGUCACCAAUUUUAUUCCCAUCUGGUCUUAAUCUUGUGAUAUGAUAAGAUUUAAUUUGCAGAUCCUAAUCAAGAGCUGAAAAAAGGUAGCGAUGAACUACAAUUAAACCAAAUAUUCCCUAAAAAAAUUAGUAUAGAAAAAAUCAUUUAUUAUUCCUAAAAACCAGAAAACAAAAUAAUCAACAUUCUUUUAAAGUUUCAAACAUAAGACCUCUUUUCCGAAACCGCCCAUUUCAAAAUGCUUGUGAGUCCAUAGCCAUAAGUAACAGUAUACUUGUAUGAACGGAAGUUGGAGAUUCUUGGUUGCAUACAUAAGAGCAAAUCCCUUACACAUUAUUAACAUAAUCACUCCUCCAAAUAUGAUGAUUCUCUCUCAAAUCUCUUCUAGCUCACUGAAAUUGAUACCCAGGAAACAAAUUGGUAAUAAAUAUUACGAUAAAGUACGUAAAAAUUAAAGAAAAACGCAUGCAUUGCAAUAUUUAACUUGAAUGAAUUUGUUACCUGAUUCUUGGGUUUUGUUUGGAGUUUAUAGCAGCUUGACUUGAGGUGCGAUUUUCUUUCUAGUUUUAUGGCCAAAAAAAUCACCAAAGAGGUAGAGAGUUCUAAGUUCUUGAUGAAAACUGAUCGAUGAUGUUGUGAAUAUGGCUUUCUGUAUUAUGGAGAGAGUGUGUGACUUUAUUUUAUUUUUUUUACUUUUUUACUUUUUUCCUCUUUUAAUUCUUCACCUACCCUACAAACUCAAUAGUAAUUAGGGAAUCACAUGCUGCACCUGCAUCUCUGCAAACUGCCAUAAAGGGAACAAGACUAUUUUUUUUCUUUUUUUUUUUUAAAUUUAUAAUUUUUGCAAACUACAAAACUCAAUAGUGUUUAGGGAAUCACAUGCUGCAUCUCUACGCACCUAGUUCCCUAGAGGCAGCUGCAUGCCAUCUCUUCUUUUCAGUUUUUUCCUGACAGCUUAAUUUUAAUAUCUCUUAGAGCACCUCCACCUCAAAAGGCAAAGGUAAGGUAAGAUUUGAC
rnacentral:lncRNA from 1 species